AGUCACAUCGCAGAAAUCUCACAGCUAUGAGAUAAUGCAGGAUUAAUUCAAUGCAACGUGAAUAAACCAGCAUCACGUUUGGUAGAAUAAUCUGAAUACUAAAGGGUUAAUGCAAGUGAAAUUGGAUGUAAACA